AUGGUGGAGAGAGCUUGGCUGUGUGGCCUAGUAGUCCUGCUGUGGGCCGAAGGAGACGCCUGCCUGGAGAGCCGUGGGCCAACGGACCGAGAGUGGCUGAACCCCACCGACAGCCUAGGAAACCACCAGCACCUGCCCAUCCCCUACCAAUGGGCUGCUGUUCUGACUUGUGCCAUGCUGGUGGCCUCCCUGUGCCUUUCCACCGUCGUCUGCUGCUGCACCUUUCGCUGGUCGAGGUCCCACCCUCCCCUGUCUGGGUCUCCGUACGUGCAGUGGAUCCAGCUGGAGGAGUUUGAGCCUUCUGCACAAGCCCCAAGCUCUCCAGAGCCCUUCCCCUCUCCAGCGGCCGAGGGUCCCCGGGGCGACACGGACCAGCCCCCUCCCUCACCCAUCGUGCAGGUUCACCGGACGCAGGCAGAGACCUCGGAUGAUGAGGCAACCCCUGGGCCUCUGGUGCACCGGAAUGUCCCACGCCGUGCUGGGCCGCCCGGCUUGGAAACGGAACAAUCUGCAGAGCAGUGAUGUAGGAAGCGAGCAGAGACGUGUUGGACCUGGAGGAAGGCAACCCCACACUAGCUAGACCACCGUGGCUGCUUCUAGGAUUUGGGGAAGGAAUCGUUCUUGUUCAGGUUGAAGGAUCUGCAUCCACUCUUUUCAGAGGGCAUUAAAACUUUUUCGAUACUUAACGUGCAUACUAUCAUCCCCGCUAACGGGGCUGCAGGAACGGACCUGAUUCUUUGCCUAGCCUGGAAAUCGCCUUAAGUUAGGCCGAUGGUCUUACGGGUCAGCAUCCUGGAUCCCCCUCUGAAACAGUUAAUGCUCGAUAGUUAAUGGUCCGUGAGUUCUUGCUUCAGAGAAAUAGUGUGCCCACCAACGGUUAAUAACACUUUUGUGUCUUUUCAGUUAGCUUUCUCCUCCCUGACCCUUUCCCAGUAGAUGUCAGAGGGAGGCAGUAUAUUAACCAGUUUGACUUAUGGAAUAUUUUCCAUAUUUUAAAGUCAGGGGCUGCUUAAAGGGGGGGGGGAAGGGGAGAACAACAUGUGACCCUCCAGGCACGGUUGGACUUCAACUCCCAGCAUUCCUCACUGCUGUCUUUGACAGCAAGGGCUCAUUGGAGCUGGACCAGAAUGGCUGCUGGAGGCUCAUUGAAGCAGAAAAGGGCGACAGGGAGCAUCACUCUGUUUUUCCUCGUGAUGCUAAGGAGCGCUUUUCCAGCUCUGCGUCCCGAAGCAAGUAGCCUCAUUGGAUGUGUGUAGGAUGAUUCAAGCGGCAUCUAAAAUGCCAGUAGAGGAUAAAGCUGUGGCCAUUCCUGUUGAUGCUAAGGAGCGCUUUUCCAGCUCUGCAUCCCAAAGCAAGUAGCCUCAAAAAUGUGUGUAGGAUGAUUCAAGCAGCAUCUAAAAUGCCGGUAGAGGAUAAAGCUGUAGCCAUUCCUGCGAUGGGGAGAACUAGUUCUGUGUCACCAGAUCUGGGAAUCCACCCUUGGACCGAUGACGUUUGGAGCCUGUCUUCUUAACACUGCCAAUGUUGCAGGAAAAGUGGAGUGAAUAUCUAUCUACCGCUGUGGCUUCCAACCUUAGGUCUCCAGAUGUUCUUGGACCACAACUCCCAGAAGUCCUGGCCAGCACAGCCGGGGUGAAGGCUCCAGGGAGUUUUAGUCCAAGAACAUCUGGAGGCCCAAGGGUGGGGAACCUCUGGUUUACAGUAUGCAACACAGCAGUGUAGAAAAUGCACAGGUUAUCUUUAUUCUGCUGGAACCUUUGUUCUUAAAACAUAUUCUUCUCCUUUAUUCUGGGCUAGUUUACUAGUGGACAGCGAGGGCUGUUCCUCCUGAAACUUCAUUUCAUGUUGGAAUAAAGUAGGGCCAUGUUUGGAGGAGAAUCGGUUU
ensembl:lncRNA